rnacentral:rRNA from 2 species
GUUGGGUAGGGGAGCGUUCUGUAAGCCUGUGAAGGUGGCCUGUGAGGGUUGCUGGAGGUAUCAGAAGUGCGAAUGCUGACAUAAGUAACGAUAAAGCGGGUGAAAAGCCCGCUCGCCGGAAGACCAAGGGUUCCUGUCCAACGUUAAUCGGGGCAGGGUGAGUCGACCCCUAAGGCGAGGCCGAAAGGCGUAGUCGAUGGGAAACGGGUUAAUAUUCCCGUACUUGGUGUUACUGCGAAGGGGGGACGGAGAAGGCUAUGUUGGCCGGGCGACGGUUGUCCCGGUUUAAGCGUGUAGGUGUGUGUUCCAGGUAAAUCCGGUUCACUUUAACACUGAGGCGUGAUGACGAGGCACUACGGUGCUGAAGCAACAAAUGCCCUGCUUCCAGGAAAAGCCUCUAAGCAUCAGGUAACAUCAAAUCGUACCCCAAACCGACACAGGUGGUCAGGUAGAGAAUACCAAGGCGCUUGAGAGAACUCGGGUGAAGGAACUAGGCAAAAUGGUGCCGUAACUUCGGGAGAAGGCACGCUGACAUGUAGGUGAAGUGAUUUACUCAUGGAGCUGAAGUCAGUCGAAGAUACCAGCUGGCUGCAACUGUUUAUUAAAAACACAGCACUGUGCAAACACGAAAGUGGACGUAUACGGUGUGACGCCUGCCCGGUGCCGGAAGGUUAAUUGAUGGGGUCAGCGCAAGCGAAGCUCCUGAUCGAAGCCCCGGUAAACGGCGGCCGUAACUAUAACGGUCCUAAGGUAGCGAAAUUCCUUGUCGGGUAAGUUCCGACCUGCACGAAUGGCGUAAUGAUGGCCAGGCUGUCUCCACCCGAGACUCAGUGAAAUUGAACUCGCUGUGAAGAUGCAGUGUACCCGCGGCAAGACGGAAAGACCCCGUGAACCUUUACUAUAGCUUGACACUGAACAUUGAGCCUUGAUGUGUAGGAUAGGUGGGAGGCUUUGAAGUGUGGACGCCAGUCUGCAUGGAGCCGGCCUUGAAAUACCACCCUUUAAUGUUUGAUGUUCUAACGUGGACCCGUAAUCCGGGUUGCGGACAGUGUCUGGUGGGUAGUUUGACUGGGGCGGUCUCCUCCUAAAGAGUAACGGAGGAGCACGAAGGUUGGCUAAUCCUGGUCGGACAUCAGGAGGUUAGUGCAAUGGCAUAAGC